rnacentral:rRNA from 1 species
AUUGAACGCUGGCGGCAGGCCUAACACAUGCAAGUCGAACGAGCGGCGGACGGGUGAGUAAUGUCUGGGGAACUGCCCGAUGGAGGGGGAUAACUACUGGAAACGGUAGCUAAUACCGCAUACCAUCGGAUGUGCCCAGAUGGGAUUAGCUAGUAGGUGGGGUAAUGGCUCACCUAGGCGACGAUCCCUAGCUGGUCUGAGAGGAUGACCAGCCACACUGGAACGGAGACACGGUCCAGACUCCUACGGGAGGCAGCAGUGGGGAAUAUUGCAAAAUGGGCGCAAGCCUGAUGCAGCCAUGCCGCGUGUAUGAAGAAGGCCUUCGGGUUGUAAAGUACUUUCAGCGGGGAGGCGUUACUCGCAGAAGAAGCACCGGCUAACUCCGUGCCAGCAGCCGCGGUAAUUC